UACAGAGGUGGCAAGCGUUGUUCGGAAUUACUGGGCGUAAAGGGCGCGUAGGCGGCUUGGUCAGUCCCGUGUGAAAUCCCUCGGCUCAACUGAGGAACUGCACGGGAAACUGCCUGGCUUGAGUUCGGGAGAGGGAAGCGGAAUUCCGGGUGUAGCGGUGAAAUGCGUAGAUAUCCGGAGGAACACCGGUGGCGAAGGCGGCUUCCUGGACCGACACUGACGCUGAGACGCGAAAGCGUGGGGAGCAAACAGG
rnacentral:rRNA from 1 species